UACGUAGGGUGCGAGCGUUGUCCGGAAUUACUGGGCGUAAAGAGCUCGUAGGUGGUUUGUCGCGUUGUUCGUGAAAACCGGGGGCUUAACCCUCGGCGUGCGGGCGAUACGGGCAGACUGGAGUACUGCAGGGGAGGACUGGAAUUCCUGGUGUAGCGGUGGAAUGCGCAGAUAUCAGGAGGAACACCAAUGGCGAAGGCAGAUCUCUGGGCCGUAACUGACGCUGAGGAGCGAAAGCCAGGGGAGCAAACGGG
rnacentral:rRNA from 1 species